GACGAACGCUGGCGGCGUGCUUAACACAUGCAAGUCGAACGGAAAGGCCCUGCUUUUGUGGGGUGCUCGAGUGGCGAACGGGUGAGUAACACGUGAGUAACCUGCCCUUGACUUUGGGAUAACUUCAGGAAACUGGGGCUAAUACAGGAUAGGAGCUCCUGCUGCAUGGUGGGGGUUGGAAAGUUUCGGCGGUUGGGGAUGGACCCGCGGCUUAUCAGCUUGUUGGUGGGGUAGUGGCUUACCACGUGUUUGACGGGUAGCCGGCCUGAGCGGGUGACCGGGCACAUUGGGACUGGGAGAAGGCCCAGACGCCUACGGGAGGCAGCAGGGGGGAAUAGUGCACGAUGGGCGGAAGCCUGAUGCAGCAACGCCGCGUGCGGGAUGACGGCCUUCGGGUUGUAAACCGCUUUCGCCUGUGACGAAGCGUGAGUGACGGUAAUGGGUAAAGAAGCACCGGCUAACUACGUG
rnacentral:rRNA from 1 species